GGGUGUAGUGGUGCCCACUAUAGUCCCAGCUACUCUAGAGGAUGAGGCAGAAGGAAACUGGAGCCCAGGAGUUCUGGGCUGCAGUGCUCUCUGCCAAUCAGGUGUCCCCACUAAGUUCAGUGUCAACCUGUGGCCUCCCUGGAGAAUGGGACCACUCUGUCGCCUAGAGAUGGGUGAACUGGCCCAGGUCAAGCAGGUCAA
rnacentral:sRNA from 1 species